rnacentral:rRNA from 1 species
CCCUUAGAUGUCCUGGGCCGCACGCGCGCUACACUGAUGCAUGCAACGAGUUUAUAACCUUGGCCUGAAAGGUCUGGGUAAUCUUUUGAACGUGCAUCGUGAUAGGGAUAGAUUAUUGCAAUUGUUAAUCUUGAACGAGGAAUUCCUAGUAAACGCGAGUCAUCAGCUCGCAUUGAUUACGUCCCUGCCCUUUGUACACACCGCCCGUCGCUCCUACCGAUUGAGUGGUCCGGUGAGGCUUUGGGAUCUGAGCGGAAAGAGCGUUUCGCUGUUUCUGCCCGGAAAACUCAGUCGAACCUUAUCAUUUAGAGGAAGGAGAAGUCGUAACA